rnacentral:rRNA from 1 species
UAACGACUCUCGGCAACGGAUAUCUCGGCUCUCGCAUCGAUGAAGAACGUAGCGAACUGCGAUACUUGGUGUGAAUUGCAGAAUCCCGUGAACCAUCGAGUCUUUGAACGCAAGUUGCGCCCGAAACCAUUGGUCGAGGGCACGUUUGCCUGGGUGUCA